rnacentral:rRNA from 1 species
AUUGAACGCUGGCGGCAGGCCUAACACAUGCAAGUCGAACGAGUGGCGGACGGGUGAGUAAUGUCUGGGAAACUGCCUGAUGGAUGGGGAUAACUACUGGAAACGGUAGCUAAUCCCGCAUACCUUCCGUUGUCCCCUGAUGUGAUUAGCUAGUGGGUUGGGGAAAGGCUCACCUAGGCGACGAUCCCUUGCUGGUCUGAGAGGAUGAACAGCCACACUGGAACUGGGACACGGUCCAGACUCCUACGGGAGGCAGCAGUGGGGAAUAUUGCACAAUGGGCGCAAGCCUGAUACAGCCAUGCCGCGUGUAUGAAGAAGGCCUUCGGGUUGUAAAGUACUUUCAGCGGGGAGGCGUUACCCGAAGAAGAAGCACCGGCUAACUCCGUGCCAGCAGCCGCGGUAAUUG